rnacentral:rRNA from 1 species
GUGCUUAACACAUGCAAGUCGAACGGAAAGGCCCUGCUUGCAGGGUACUCGAGUGGCGAACGGGUGAGUAACACGUGGGUGAUCUGCCCUGCACUUCGGGAUAAGCCUGGGAAACUGGGUCUAAUACCGGAUAGGAGCCAUUUUUAGUGUGAUGGUUGGAAAGUUUUUUCGGUGUAGGAUGAGCUCGCGGCCUAUCAGCUUGUUGGUGGGGUAAUGGCCUACCAAGGCGGCGACGGGUAGCCGGCCUGAGAGGGUGGACGGCCACAUUGGGACUGAGAUACGGCCCAGACUCCUACGGGAGGCAGCAGUGGGGAAUAUUGCACAAUGGGCGCARGCCUGAUGCAGCGACSCCGCGUGGGGGAUGACGGCCUUCGGGUUGUAAACUCCUUUCGCUAGGGACGAAGCUUUUUGUGACGGUACCUAGAUAAGAAGCACCGGCUAAYUACGUGCCAGCAGCCGCGGUAWUACGUAGGGUGCGAGCGUUGUCCGGAAUUACUGGGCGUAAAGGGCUCGUAGGUGGUUUGUCGCGUCGUCUGUGAAAUUCCGGGGCUUAACUCCGGGCGUGCAGGCGAUACGGGCAUAACUUGAGUACUGUAGGGGUAACUGGAAUUCCUGG